CUAUCUAACUUCAAUCGCCUCCUCUCUGAAACUCUAGACUCUAGAAUCUACACUCGCUUUCUCCCCGCCUCUAAAACCAGAGGGGACAGCCGAGCCGGUGAGGAUGGUUUUAGAGCAGAGAGAUGUGAAAUUUGUGAACAGAAGGAAAGUUAUUGGUUGCAAAGUUAGGGUUCAUGGCGGAAUUAAGUAAUUUUGCAGGAAAAACUAGAGUGGGAACCCUAAAUAUGUCUACUACUAAUACUGCAGCAGCAACAAUAACAACAAGUAGUAGUAGUGUGUUAUUUAAUGGAGAGUUAUUGUUCUUCUUCCAACCAGAAGAAAAGAAAUUUAUCAUCAUAAAACCGGAAUUAAUGGUGUCUUCUCCGGCGCUAUCAUUAUCAACAAAUAAGUGUGUUCAUACUGUAAUGUCCUGCUCAGUAAGUGGUAUAAAUAACAGAUCAUGUGAUUUGGUUACCGGUGAAAAAAGAAAUCUGAUGUUGCGAGAUUUUGUGGAGAGAUUCUGAAAGUGAAGGUCUGGAAAUGAGUUCUGAAGCUAAUUCUAAGAGUAGGAAAUUAUCUGAUGAGAAGAUGCCAACAGAAACAGAGAUUAAAGAAUUCUUUUCUGCAUUUGAGAAGCAUGAACACAAGCGAUUUUUAGAAAAGUAUAAUUAUGAUAUCACCAAGGAUGUUCCUUUGGAGGGUCGUUAUGAAUGGAUUUCUUUAAAGCCCUGAAGAAGAUGAAGAAAGAUCAGAAACUAUUUGUUAUUAAUCUUACCAUAUUUUUAAUUUCAUGGUCAUAAAAAUUAGUAAUUAGUAGUAUGUAAAAAGCUGUUUAUUUAUUUAUUUCUUCUUCUUCUUCUCUGUUAGUUUCUAGGGUCGUCUCUGUAUAAGGAAGGAAUCUCUGUUUAAUUUCGGUUUAGGGGUGUUUCUGUGUUGGUGGUAUACGGAAGAACAGAAUCUCUUUUUCUGGAACAUCUUAAUUUGAGGAAUGAAAAUAAAGAGGCUCAUUAAUUUUUA